CAAACAUGGCCGAUCUACGCGCAUCACCGGAGGUUGCGUUGGCUCCACACUGAAUAAUGCACUCACUGCCGACUCUAUAACUGAAAAGAAGUUUAAUUCCACAAUUAAAUGUCAUAUUCCUUUUAUACUGAACUACCAAUGCCAUAGAAGUGCAAAAGCUUCCCCAGUCUAAAAUAAAUUCUGCAAGGAAUUUAUUUAAUAACUUAUUUUCUUACUGGAAAGUGUUAGUGUAAUUGUCACUGUUUUUAGUGUAGUGCGAAACGUGCAAUUGUUUUUCAUGUACAUGUGAUGCAGUUGUUGAAGGCCAACAUCUUACAAUCCACAGUUUACAUAAAAUCUUUUAAAUAGAUACAAACAAUAAAGAAUAUAAGACAUGAUGGAAUAAAGAAGAUUAGCAAAAAAGAUUAACGAAACAGCCGAAGAUUAGAGAUAUUCGUGUUUGUAAAUUUGUAAUGUUGGAAAUUGUAGGUUUUGAAAGUUUGAGACGAUGGAGUCUCAGUUUCCAAAACUUGAAAUAUUCGAAUUUUGGAAUACCGACAAUUUUGGGGUUGACACGCCGAUUCCCAACAUUUUGAAUUUUUAAAUUCUUGCGAAUUUUACGUUUUAACAGUUGCAAAUAGGUUUCUGAAAUUUAAGAAAUUUUCGAUUUUGAAAUAUUGCGAAUUUCAGGUUUUAAAAGUUGCAAAUAGGUUUCUGAAAUUUAAGAAAUUUUCGAUUUUGAAAUAUUGCGAAUUUCAGGUUUUAAAAGUUGCAGAUAAGUUUCUGAAAUU